UUGACGGAAGGGCACCACCAGGAGUAAACGUUUAUGUCGCAGUUAACUCUGCUCCGAAAAGCCACUCGAAAGAGUGUGGUGUCCUUAGAGGCUAGUCAGUCCGCUGGCAACACAAUCAAAUUGCGGGAAACUCCUUAGAGCUCAAGCUACCGCUGCUGCCCAGAGAUGGGCUGUGGCACCAGGUUAACGACCUCGGGUAUGGUAACAACGCCUGAGAUUGGACAAUCCGCAGCCAAGCUCCCUCAUGGGAAGAAGGUUCAGAGACUAGAUGGUUGUGGGUUGAACACGUUUAUCUGAAGUAUUUGAACGGUUCGGCUUAAGAUAUAGUCCAAUCCAAUGUGGAAACGCACUGGUCUGAAAGAUAGAAAAUGGGAGCCUGCGCUUAAUUUGAC
rnacentral:ncRNA from 1 species